rnacentral:rRNA from 1 species
UGAGCAAUCUGCCCUUCUCUUCGGAAUAAGCGUUGGAAACGACGUCUAAUGCCGAAUACGACCUCCUUUCGCAUGAUCGGAGGUGGAAAGCUCCGGCGGAGAAGGAUGAGCUCGCGGCCUAUCAGCUAGUUGGUGUGGGUAAUGGCCCACCAAGGCGACGACGGGUAGCCGGCCUGAGGAGGGUGACCCGGCCACACGUGGGACUGAGACACGGCCCAGACCUCCGUACGGGGAGG